GUAGGGAAUAUUGGGCAAUGGAUGCAAGUCUGACCCAGCCAUCCCGCGUGCCGGAAGAAGGCCCUCAGGGUUGUAAACGGCUUUUGACGGUGAAGAAUCGACAGGAUGCGUCCUGUUUUGACGGUAGCCGUUGAAUAAGCACCGGCUAACUCCGUGCCAGCAGCCGCGGUAAUAUGGAGGGUGCGAGCGUUGUCCGGAUUUAUUGGGUUUAAAGGGUGCGUAGGCUGGAAGGUCAGUCAGCGGUGAAAAGCUGUCGCUUAACGAUAGUCUUGCCGCAGAUACUUCCUUUCUUGGAUGAGGAGGAGGCCACUGGAACGGAUGGUGUAGCGGUGAAAUGCAUAGAUAUCAUCCAGAACACCGAUUGCGAAGGCAGGUGGCUGUACCUUAAUCGACGCUGAUGCACGAAAGCAUGGGGAGCAAACAGGAUUAGAAACCCGUGUAGUCC
rnacentral:rRNA from 1 species